GUGCUUGCCUCAGCAGCACAUAUACUAAAAUUGGAACGAUACAGAGAAGAUUAGCAUGGCCCCUGCACAAGGAUGACAUGCAAACUUGUGAAGCAUUCCAUAUUUUU
rnacentral:snRNA from 1 species